rnacentral:rRNA from 1 species
AUUUUUAGUAAUAAUCCUAUUAUACCUAAAUAUUACAAGCUUCCUUACUUCAAAUUUUAAGGAUUUGGCGGUAUUUUAACCCUAUUAGAGGAACCUGUCCUAUAAACGAUAUACCACGCAAAAUCUUACCUACUUUUAUAGUUUGUAUACCAUCAUUAUUAGAUAACUCCUUAUAUGAAUAGUUAUUUCAAUAUACAAACGUCUUAUAUAUUAGAUCAAGGUGCAGCCCAUAAGUAGGUUUAGAUGGGUUACAAUAAAACUUAUUUAUACAAAUUUCAAAUUUAAAUAUUUUUUUAAAGAAGGAUUUAAUAGUAACUUUAGUUUAAUAAGCUAAUUUGAUAAUGGAUCUAAACUAAGUACAUAUUGCCCGUCACUUUCAUCCAUAAAUGAAAUAAGUCGUAACAUAG